UACCCGCGCCCCUAGUGGUGGUCGAUAUUAUUGAGCCUAAAACGUCCGUAGCCGGUCUUCUAAAUCCUUGGGUAAAUCGGGCAGCUUAACUGUCCGAAGUCCGGGGAGACUGGGAGACUUGGGACCGGGAGAGGUCAGAGGUACUUCUGGGGUAGGGGUAAAAUCCUGUAAUCCUGGAAGGACCACCGGUGGCGAAGGCGGCUAACUGGAACGGAUCCGACGGUGAGGGACGAAGCCCUGGGGCGCAAACGGG
rnacentral:rRNA from 1 species